CCCAGACUCCUACGGGAGGCAGCAGUGGGGAAUAUUGGACAAUGGGGGGAACCCUGAUCCAGCGACGCCGCGUGAGUGAAGAAGUAUUUCGGUAUGUAAAGCUCUAUCAGCAGGGAAGAAAGAAAUGACGGUACCUGACUAAGAAGCCCCGGCUAACUACGUGCCAGCAGCCGCGGUAAUACGUAGGGGGCAAGCGUUAUCCGGAUUUACUGGGUGUAAAGGGGGCGCAGACGGCAGCGCAAGCCAGGAGUGAAAGCCCGGGGCCCAACCCCGGGACUGCUCUUGGAACUGCGCGGCUGGAGUGCAGGAGGGGCAGGCGGAAUUCCUGGUGUAGCGGUGAAAUGCGUAGAUAUCAGGAGGAACACCGGUGGCGAAGGCGGCCUGCUGGACUGCGACUGACGUUGAGGCCCGAAAGCGUGGGGAGCAAACAGGAUUAGAUACCCCAGUA
rnacentral:rRNA from 1 species